AAAUUAUGUUGGAAGGACAUCUCUUGAUCAGCUGCUUGUAUCUCUCCCAGGCUUCAUAGAGGGACUCUCCCUCUUUCUGUCUGAAGGUCUGGACUUCCACUCUAAGCUU